GGGUGAGUAACGCGUGGAGAACCUGCCGUAUACUGGGGGAUAACACUUAGAAAUAGGUGCUAAUACCGCAUAAGCGCACAGCUUCGCAUGAAGCAGUGUGAAAAACUCCGGUGGUAUACGAUGGAUCCGCGUCUGAUUAGCUGGUUGGCGGGGUAAAGGCCCACCAAGGCGACGAUCAGUAGCCGGCCUGAGAGGGUGAACGGCCACAUUGGGACUGAGACACGGCCCAAACUCCUACGGGAGGCAGCAGUGGGGAAUAUUGCACAAUGGGGGAAACCCUGAUGCAGCGACGCCGCGUGAGUGAAGAAGUAUUUCGGUACGUAAAGCUCUAUCAGCAGGGAAGAAAAUGACGGUACCUGACUAAGAAGCCCCGGCUAACUACGUGCCAGCAGCCGCGGUAAUACGUAGGGGGCAAGCGUUAUCCGGAUUUACUGGGUGUAAAGGGAGCGUAGACGGCAGCGCAAGUCUGGAGUGAAAUCCCAUGGCUUAACCAUGGAACUGCUUUGGAAACUGUGCAGCUGGAGUGCAGGAGAGGUAAGCGGAAUUCCUAGUGUAGCGGUGAAAUGCGUAGAUAUUAGGAGGAACACCAGUGGCGAAGGCGGCUUACUGGACUGUAACUGACGUUGAGGCUCGAAAGCGUGGGGAGCAAACAGGAUUAGAUACCCUGGUAGUCCACGCUGUAA
rnacentral:rRNA from 1 species